UACGGGGGGGGCAAGCGUUGUUCGGAAUUACUGGGCGUAAAGGGUUCGUAGGUGGCCAACUAAGUCAGACGUGAAAUCCCUCAGCUUAACUGGGGAACUGCGUCUGAGACUGGAUGGCUUGAGUGCAGGAGAGGAACGCGGAAUUCCAGGUGUAGCGGUGAAAUGCGUAGAUAUCUGGAGGAACGCCGGCGGCGAAAGCGGCUUGCUGGACCCCAUCUGACGCUGAUGCGCGAAAGCCAGGGGAGCGAACGGG
rnacentral:rRNA from 1 species